AGCGAACGCUGGCGGCAGGCUUAACACAUGCAAGUCGAGCGCCCGUAGCAAUACGGGAGCGGCAGACGGGUGAGUAACACGUGGGAACGUGCCUUUUGGUUCGGAACAACUGAGGGAAACUUCAGCUAAUACCGGAUAAGCCCUUACGGGGAAAGAUUUAUCGCCAAAAGAUCGGCCCGCGUCUGAUUAGCUAGUUGGUGGGGUAAUGGCCCACCAAGGCUACGAUCAGUAGCUGGUCUGAGAGGAUGAUCAGCCACACUGGGACUGAGACACGGCCCAGACUCCUACGGGAGGCAGCAGUGGGGAAUCUUGGACAAUGGGCGCAAGCCUGAUCCAGCCAUGCCGCGUGAGUGAUGAAGGCCUUAGGGUUGUAAAGCUCUUUC
rnacentral:rRNA from 1 species